AUAUCUGUAUGAUAGCAGCAGACAUUUUUUGAAGCGAUACAAAUUGAGCUUGUGUGACAUGGCUUCUUCUGGGGAAGAAAUAAUAUCUAUACAGAGAGGUUGCAACUUACCUGCGCUUAACAGAUGCACCUCCUGCUGUUCCCUAUUUCACUGUCCUUUCUGUAAUUCUGAUUUUUUUCAAGCCCUCAAAGAAAAGUAAAGUACAAACUCAUCUUAAGCUUCACUUUUCUAGGGCAGUCGUCCAUGAAGAUUAUACAAUCCACCGGUGUGGUCUAGGUUGUGUGUCACAAUUACAACUACCACUAGAAUCUACAGGAGUCAUGCUGUUAAGAAAUAAAAGUCAUGGUGUUAAUAAAUAUUUUUGUGAACAACAA